AUCCAAGGAACCCACGGGAGCGGAGAAGACCAUUGGCCCAUCCCUGUCCUUCUUGGCCCUGCUGCCACCUUCCCGAGAUACUCUGUGAAUGUAUCGCCUAUCAGAGCCCUGGGCCACCGAGUAAGAAGUUCAACUACCCUGAGGCUGCAAUGGCAUGAGGAAGCCCAAGCCACACGGAGAGGGCACGUGGAGGUGCUCUGGCUGGCAGCCCCUGGUGACUCUCAGCGGCCAGCCAGCACCAACCGCCAGAUGAUUCUACCCUCCGGCCCGAGGCCCCAGACGUCACGUGGCCAAGUCAGAAGGGUUUUGAAGCUUUGACCGGCCGAAGAUGAGAGUUGGCACCAAGUGCCUUGGACAGAAGGGCCACCAAUCCUGCAGCUCAGGCCCCCAGCUGCCCUGCUUCCUUCCUGCCUGGGGUGCAGCUUGCCAUUGGAUUCUGAGAGCCUUCUAGAAGCCUUCCAGUAAAUGCUAAGCCCUCUCCUUACGCCCGUAUUUAUUCAUUUACCUCUUUAUUUAGCCAGCACUGUUGGUGUCUGGCACCUGUGACCACAAGAAACUUAAC